CAGUUCUUCUCAGAAGCAGGACUGGCUGUUGGGAAAGAAGACAAUGCUGUCUCUGAAUUGCAAAGUGACAAUUUUUAAGGACUUGGGGCAAAAAACCAAUUUCAUGAAGUAUUCCAAGAGCAGUAAAUAUAGUGUUUUAGUCCAUUUUUAUUUUUUUUGUUCUGGAGAUGCUUAAAAAGGGCUUGCCCAAUUCAUUUUGGCAAUGCUUUCCCCUGAGGCUUAAUGCCCAUUUUGGAUGACUUAUUCUUUGAAUCCUACAAUUUUUCUAGAGAUGCCAAUGGAAAAUCUAAUAGUCUUCUGGUGGAGACCUGGAAAAUGGAGAAAAUGAGCAGCAGGGACCAAAGGACUAGUGAGUCGAUUGGAUAAGAACCUCUAUGGAAAAGAGAUCUUCAGAAUAACAAGUCUGAAAAGCCACCUGAUGAGUCUAUCUUCAUUUUCUGAACAAAAUAAACAUUAACUAUAAGUUUAACAA